rnacentral:lncRNA from 1 species
CACCUUCAACCAAGAAGAAUUUGAUGGAACUCUCAACGGCCCAUGCCCCUUCCACAAGGACGCACGACAUACUCUACGAGAUUGCAUAGGCCUAAAGAAAGAUCUCGACGUUCCGGUGCAAUAUAAGUGACCACACAACAAUGACUACCGCCAGGAUAACAACAAGCGUUUAUCAUAACCGUGAAGAUGGCUGAUGCCAAAACGACCAUGACAACUACAACAAUGGUGACCAUGAUGACCACAAUGGCCGCCACCGCGACAACCACAACAACGGUAGGCGGGAUGACC